GGUGAGGUGUCCGAGUGGUUUAAGGAACACGCCUGGAAAGCGUGUAUAUGGUGACGUAUCAUGGGUUCGAAUCCCAUCCUCACCACCAUGA
rnacentral:tRNA from 1 species